GACGAACGCUGGCGGCGUGCUUAACACAUGCAAGUCGAACGGAAAGGCCUGCUUUCCCUUGUGGAUUGCGGGUACUCGAGUGGCGAACGGGUGAGUAACGCGUGAGUGAUCUGCCCCCAACUUGGGUAUAAGCCUGGGAAACUGGGUCUAAUUCCCGAUAGGACUGCAGGGUGGUGCCUGUGGUGGAAAACGAUUUUCUAGUGGUUGGGGAUGAGCUCGCGGCCUAUCAGCUUGUUGGUGGGGUAAUGGCCUACCAAGGCGGCGACGGGUAGCCGGCCUGAGAGGGGGGACGGCCGCAUUGGGACUGAGAUACGGCCCAGACUCCUACGGGAGGCAGCAGUGGGGAAUAUUGGACAAUGGGCGGAAGCCUGAUGCAGCGACGCCGCGUGGGGGAUGACGGCCUUCGGGUUGUAAACUCCUUUCGACCGAGAGGAAGCCACCUGGUUGGAAGGGUGGUGACGGUAGUGGUAGAAGAAGCACCGGCUAACUACGUG
rnacentral:rRNA from 1 species